UAGGGUGCGAUGACGAGGUACACACAACCCUGAUCAAUCGCCUCCGAUGGCGAUCUGAUGUUCACCUUUUACCUUUGGUUCGUAUUCGCUGAGCAUCCGAUCUUCUUCAUCUAUCGAGGCCAGCAUUUUUUGUUUCUUUUUUUUUCUUGCUCGGUUUGCUUUGGAUCGAGGGACCUGGGGAUCCGCCGCCCUUCUUCGUGCGGCGUCAUCCAGUUUUUACCCCUCGAAUACGGCUUGCAGGCGCGUCCUAGCCAUCUCGCUCUCUGCAUAAUCCUCUGCGAGACCCGGGCUCGUAUGCCACAUUCGUCGUUGUCAAACUAAACAAAAAAAAUAGGCUUUUGUCGCGAAGAUCCCAGCAGAGAGGUGCGCUGAUGCCUCCCUAACAAUCAUAAUCUUCGCAGAGAAACGCUCAUGAUCCGUGGUUUCGUGGAUGUGUGAUUUGGAUUUUUGUUCCAUUACAUCUGUUUCCACGGCGACAUUUUCAUGAUUACUGCAGCGAACUGAACGAGGGACCUAUGGAUGGACUGCUCUUUGUCCGUGUUGUGCCGUCCAAGUUUGCCUUCGGAUAGUAAAACCAGCAAUCUGGUCACGAGAUCUCGCAAGCCUUUUCAUGUUUGUGGGAAUGGUGUGCCAAUUUGCCAAAUUUUGGGUUUCUAUCGUUAUCUUCAUAGGUCGUAAUUUUGCCAGGAUAUAGCGCCGGAACCCCAUACUGAGGUCGUCGUUAUUGCAGUCAUAAGCGACGAUGAAACUUUGAACAGACCAGAAUGUUCUUGCAGUCACAAGUGGUUGUCUAAAUUUGGAUAUUGAACAGAAUUACUUCCAGUUGAACCUACCGCUUCAACAAUUGGCAUACUUGCCUGAGUGGCUAACGAUCCAUGCAAUACUGCACUAUUAUUAAUUGGAGCCCGAGACACCACCUCAAAUUUCAUAACGUCGCUAUAAAAACAAAUAUUAGUUUUCACAAUAAUGAAGACUAUAAAAUACUUUUAAUGCCUAGUUUUAUUAUUCUAAAAAAUAGUUUAAAACAAUCUCUAAGUACAUAUAUAAGUCACCUAAAUAUAACAUUAUGAAAGACAAUUUGAAAUACUUUUAGUGAUUUUAUAAAUUGUGCUAUGUUCUAGAAAAUCAUGAUGCAUUAUUGUCUAAAGGGUAGUAUGUUUGUUUAUUGUAUAGAUUAUAUAAUGUAGCUUAUAAAUAAUUUAAGAGAAAUAAACAACAAAGAUUAUAACUGGUAGCUCUUUGGCUCUGACUUUUUUAAACGACUAAUUAUAAAAAGAAUAUAAAGUAGUCCUUUUUGUACUACAAAGAAUCCAUAAAUGGCUCUAGAUCUAUGAUAAGAUAUUGUCGGAGAGGAAAAUCUCCGGCUGGGCGGCAGAACGCACCCGUCCUAAAUUUUAAGAUGAGGAGGGUCUAAGCGUUUUGACUGUCUAUUGGGAGAUAGAUGAUAGCGAGUGUACACGAAGAUUUAGAGUGGUUUACGCCGUGGGAGCGUAAUACCAUACUCCACUGUCUGUGUGUUGUAUUGAGUCUGAGAGCUUGAGCGCUUGUGAGCCCGUCUGAGGGUUUGAGUAAACUUGAGAGUUUGCCUUGUAAUGUUGUGUGACUUCUGAUUUAUAGCUCAAGGGAGGCACAUACAAGAAUCCUGAGCCCUGACAUGUAGGCUUAGGAACAUAACGGAAGGAACACAUUAUAGGAGUAACUAAUGCAAGUAACGCUUGGGCUCAGGAACAUAACGGAAGGAACACAUUAUAGGAGUAACUAAUGCAAGUAACGCCUGAGCAAUCUCCUGGUGCCAUGAUGUUCGCAGUCCACGCAGUAUUGAUAUGCGGUGACUGCUUCCUUGGUAACGUGCGAGUAAUGAUGAGCGUAGUGCACGUGGCAGUAUGAGUGUUGUCUGCCAGUGGAAUUGACAGGCACGCCGCCUGCGGAAUGGACAUGUCGCCGCCUGCCAGGGGAAUGGACAGGUCACCGCAUGCCAGGGGAAUGGACAUAUCUCAAUAAAUGCAGAGGCGGCACACUGCCUGCCAGUGGAAUGGACAGACGACGCGCCUUAUCCUCAAUAAAUGCAGAGGCCGCGUAGCUCAGAGGCAUUACGUCAGGCUCCACCCAUUGGCUUACGUCACGUGUGGUAGGCCACGCGACAGCAUUGAGUCUUCGCUUGGGCGGGGAGCAGAAGCGUAUACGAUAAGGUCCGGACACGUGUCGGCUCUGGACCCCCGCCUGGCCUUGAUUAAGGCCUGGGUAUUCUCUGUCCCAAAAUCCCGGGACCCUGCUGUGAGCGGCCCGGACCCCACACAGAGGGGUCCGGAUCCCAUCCUAGGGGUCCAGUUUGCGCCCGUGGAGGUACUGGACCUUACCCGGAGGCCCAGUCUGUAUAUACAGGGGUCCGACACUUUCCCAUGGGGGUCCGGACUCACUGUUGACACCUUUGAGUAUAUCUUCUUCUCUGGCCACAUGGUGGGGUCGGGUGCUGUUGCUGGCCCAGAGUAGUCACUCGAAGCUGGGGACUGGGGUGAGUCACGGCCUGGCCCCACGCACAGCUCCUUUACCACGUGACCAAAGAUAGCCGCGUGGGUACUGUGUCUUCAUACAGUAGUUAGGGGUACCCCUGUUUUAGGGUACCGACAAAUAUGUUUUUAAUGAUUUACAAAAUGACUUUAGCUCUACUAAAAAGUUACUUUUUUGGAAAAGCUAAAGUUAGCGUUGUUUUUGAGUAAGCAAGAGUUCUAUCAAACAUACCUUUAUUAGAUGGAUUAUAUAAGGAGAUCAUUGUGUGCUUAUCUAAUGUAUUAGAUGAAUGUUCGUGCGUUGCUAUGGAGUGAACACGUUAUGAAAGAUAUAUUGAAAUUCAAAAAGAUUAGUCAGCCGAUAUUUUUUAUUUAAAGCUUGCUCAACAUGUACAAAUCUUGAUAGUAUGAUAUGUUUGGUAUAGUAUGGACGAGAGAAAUCUUCAUAGUAAUGAAAUUGUAGAUUGUUGUUUUAUAUUGUCAGGGCACCUGAGAUUCAUGCCCUUAAAUGUGUAGCCGUGGUGGAAUGUUUGUAGCCUUUUCCGAUUUUACAAUAUACCUAACUAUAUCUUUAGAGCCUGUUUGGUUCCUAAGAAAUGGUCACCCGUAACUAUUCCUAGCCAGAUUAUUUGUCUAAUUAAUAUAGGGUUUGAUGAACUGGAACAAUUUUGAGGUGAAUUUCGGCUCAAACGAACAUGUCCUUAUUGAUUUAGCUAGAGAGAUGCGAGGAAAACACUUGUUAGUAUUGUGACUUUGGUGGUGGUGGACAGAAUAGACACAUAGGAAGGCACAUCAGAGGUGGCACUGGAGCCGAUGUUGAUAAUGUGCAAAUGGUGUCACACUUCCUCUCGAGUCUCGACCAUGCCUGGCAGCACAACACGCGUGACCCGCGUGACGCCCUGGACGUUGACCUAGAUCAGGCGACACAUGAGCUCCUCGUCCACCUCGUGGAAGUAGCGUAUGUACGGAUAAGACAACUCGUCGUGGCCCUGGAUGUACGAAUAAGACAACUCGUCGUGGCCCUGGAUGGAGUCUUGAGCGCCUCGACGUCGGCCACGAGCCCCUCGAGUUCCUUAUCAGAGGUGCGAGCAUCGAGGAGGAGGCAAAUGGUGAAGGUGAGGGAGGGGACCAUGGGGGUCUGUCAUGGCGGGGCAGGGGGUCGGGGAGGCAGGGGCAACACGCGAGGUGUCACACCCGGUUUUAAGGGCAUACACGUGUGCGUCUCAUAUGUGCGCCAAACAAGAUCAACACAUACAAUGUGUAUAGUGACAAAUGUCAUAAUUUUUAUUAUAUAAUGAAAAUGUCUUACAAAAUAACUGAUAAUAAAUAACGUGAACUAAUAUUAUUAUCCCUCGGUGCCAUUAAGCUGACAGGGAGAAGACACAUAGAUCUCGUCAUAGUAGUCCUCUGGGGGCACCUGCUCUUCACCUGAGGGGUUAUUGCAAGGGUGAGCUCACAAAUGUUAAUCGCUCAACAAGUUUGGGGAAUAAUGUGCAUGAGCUCACUUACGGUGGGGCUCAUAUGUAGUGUAAGGCUGAUCAACAAAUAAUGGUUAAAGCAUUGCUUUUAAUAAGUUGGUCAAAAUUUUAUCAACAAUUACUAAAAAAGUGUAUAUCAUCUCAAUAAAAUAAGAGAUAGUGAAAGGGAGAUAGGCUUACACCUAUUUUCCUAAUUGAUUUUGGUGGUUGAAUUGCCCAACACAAAUAAUUGGACUAACUAGUUUGCCCUAUUGUAUAGAUUAUACAGGUGUAAAAGGUUCACACUUAGCCAAUAAAAAGAUCAAGUAUUGGAUUUCAACAAAGGAGCAAAGGGGCAACCGAAGGCACCUCUGGUCUGGGGGCACCGGACUGUCCGGUGCACCAGAGGACUCCAACUCAAACUUGCCACCUUCGGGAAUUUCCAGAGGCACUCCGCUAUAAUUCACCGGACUGUCCGGUGUACACCGGACAGUGUCCGGUGCUCCAAGGAAGAGCGGCCUCCGGAACUCGCCAGCCUCGGGAAAACGCAGCGGCUGCUCCGCUAUAAUUCACCGGACAUGUCCGGUGUACACCGGACUGUCCGGUGAACCAGCAGAGCAACGACUACUUCGCGCCAACGGUCACCUGCAGGCGCAUUUAAUGCGCGCCAGAAGCGCGCAGAAGUCAGGCACGCCCAUACUGGCGCACCGGAUAUUGAACAGUUCAUGUCCGGUGUGCACCGGACAUCCAGGCGGGCCCAGAAGACAGAAGCUCCAACGGUCGGAAUCCAACGACAUUGGUGACGUGGCUGGCGCACCGGACAUGUCCGGUGUACACCGGACUGUCCGGUGCACCAUACGACAGACAGCCUCCACCAACGGUCAUGUUUGGUGGUUGGGGCUAUAAAUACCCCAACCACCCCACCAUUCAUUGCAUCCAAGUUUUCCAGCUUCCAACCACUAUACAAGAGCUAGCAUUCAUUGCAAAGCACACCAAAAGAGAUCAAAUCCUCUCCCAACUCCUCACAAAGCCUUAGUGACUAGAGAGAGUGAUUUGUAGUGUUCAUUUGAGCUCUUGCGCUUGGAUCGCUUAUUUUCUUUCGCAUUCUUUCUUGUGAUCAUACUCACUUGUAAUUGAGGCAAGAGACACAAAUUGUGUGGUGGUCCUUGCGGGAAGUUUGAUUCCCAAGUGAUUUGAGAAGAGAAGCUCACUCGGUCCGAGGGACCGUUUGAGAGAGGGAAGGGUUGAAAGAGACCCGUCCAUUGUGGCCUCCUCAACGGGGAGUAGGUUUGCGAGAACCGAACCUCGGUAAAACAAAUCCUUGUGUCUCACCGCUUUACUCGCUUGCGAUUUGUUUUACACCCUCUCGCGGACUCAGUUUUAUUUCUAACGCUAACCCGGCUUGUAGUUGUAUUUAUAUUUGUAAAUUUCAGUUUCGCCCUAUUCACCCCCCUCUAGGCGACUAUCAAUUGGUAUCAGAGCCCGGUGCUUCAUUAGAGCCUAACCGCUCGAAGUGAUGUCGGGAGAUCACGCCAAGAAGGAGAUGGAGACCGGCGAAAAGCCCACUACAAGCCACGGGAGCGCUUCAUCGGAAGAGUCCCGCACCAAGAGAAAGGAGAAGAAAGACUCCUUAAAAGGGAAGGAGAAGAAGAAGGACUCCUCCAAAGGGAAGGAGAAGAAAUCUUCUUCACACAAAGAGAAGAAGGAGAAAUCCUCUUCUCACAAGCCUCGUCGGAGUGGGGACAAGAAAAAGAAGAUGAGGAAAGUGGUCUACUACGAGACCGACUCUUCAUCAACAUCCACCUCCAGCUCCGACGUGGCGUCCUUCACUUCUAAGCGCCAAGAGCGCAAGAAGUAUAGUAAGAUUCCCCUACGCUACCCUCGCAUUUCUAAACAUACACCUUUACUUUCCGUCCCAUUAGGCAAACCACCAACAUUUGAUGGUGAGGAUUAUGCUAGGUGGAGUGAUUUAAUGCGAUUUCAUCUAACCUCACUCCACAAAAGUAUAUGGGAUGUUGUUGAGUUUGGUGCACAGGUACCAUCCGUAGGGGAUGAAGACUAUGAUGAGGAUGAGGUAGCCCAAAUCGAGCACUUCAACUCUCAAGCAACAACAAUACUCCUCGCCUCUCUAAGUACAGAGGAGUAUAACAAAGUGCAAGGGUUGAAGAGCGCUAAGGAGGUUUGGGAUGUGCUCAAAACCGCACACGAAGGAGAUGAGCUGACAAAGAUCACCAAGCGGGAGACGAUCGAGGGGGAGCUCGGUCGGUUCCGGCUUCGCAAAGGGGAGGAGCCACAAAACAUGUACAACCGACUCAAGACCUUGGUGAAUCAAGUGCGCAACCUCGGGAGCAAAAAGUGGGAUGACCACGAGGUGGUUAAGGUUAUUCUAAGAUCUCUUAUUUUCCUUAACCCUACUCAAGUUCAAUUAAUCCGUGGCAACCCAAGAUAUACACUAAUGACCCCUGAGGAAGUAAUCGGGAAUUUUGUAAGUUUUGAGUGCAUGAUCGAAGGCUCAAGGAAGAUCAACGAGCUUGAUGAUCCCUCCACAUCCGAAGCUCAACCCAUCGCAUUCAAGGCGACGGAGGAAAAGAAGGAGGAGUCUACACCAAGUAGACAACCAAUCGACGCCUCCAAGCUCGACAAUGAGGAAAUGGCGCUCGUCAUCAAGAGCUUCCGCCAAAUCCUCAAACAAAGGAGGGGGAAAGACUGCAAGCCCCGCUCCAAGAAGGUUUGCUACAAAUGUGGUAAGCCCGGUCACUUUAUAGCCAAAUGUCCUAUUUCUAGUGACAGUGACAGGGGCGAUGACAAGAAGGGCAAGAGGAGAGAAAAGAAGAGGUACCACAAGAAGAGGGGCGGCGAUGCCCACGUGUGCCGCGAGUGGGACUCCGACGAGAGCUCCACCGACUCCUCCUCCGACGAGGACGCCGCCAACAUCGCCGUCACCAAGGGACUCCUCUUCCCCAACGUCGGCCACAAGUGCCUCAUGGCAAAGGACGGCAAAAAGAAGAAGGUUAAAUAUAAAUCCUCCACUAGAUAUGAAUCCUCUAGUGAUGAAAAUGUUAGUGAUGAGGAAGAUAACUUGCGAUCUCUUUUUGCCAACCUCAACAUGCAACAAAAAGAGAAACUUAAUGAAUUGAUUAGUGCCAUUCAUGAAAAGGAUGAUCUCUUGGACACCCAAGAGGACUUCCUUAUUAAAGAAAAUAAGAAGCAUGUUAAGGUUAAAAAUGCUUAUGCCCUAGAAAUAGAAAAAUGUGAAAAAUUGUCUAGUGAGCUAAGCACUUGCCAUGAGACUAUAGACAACCUUAGAAAUGAGAAUGCUAAUUUGUUAGCUAAGGUUGAUUCUCAUAUUUGUAAUGAUUUAAGUUCCAAUCCUAGAGAUAAUAAUGAUGAUUUACUUGCUAGGAUUAAAGAUUUGAACAUUUCACUUGCUAGCCUUAGAAAUGAAAAUGAAAAAUUGCUUGCUAAGGCUAAAGAUUUUGAUGUUUGCAAUGUUACUAUUUCUAACCUUAGAAGUGAAAGCGGCAUAUUACAUGCUAAGGUUGUAGAAUUAAAAUCUUGCAAAACUCCUACAUCUAUAGUUGAGCAUGUAUCUAUUUGUACUAGAUGUAGAGAUAUUGAUGUUGAUGCUAUUCAUGAUCACAUGACUUUAAUUAAACAACAAAAUGAUCAUAUAGCAAAACUAGAUGCUAAAAUUGCCGAGCAUAACUUAGAAAAUGAAAAAUUUAAAUUUGCUAGAACUAUGCUCUAUAGUGGGAGACGUCCUGGCAUCAAGGAUGGCAUUGGCUUCCAAAGGGGAGACAACGUUAAACUUAAUGCCCCUCCUAAAAGAUUGUCUAAUUUUGUAAAGGGCAAGGCUCCCAUGCCUCAGGAUAACGAGGGUUACAUUUUAUACCCUGCCGGUUAUCCUGAGGACAAAAUUAGGAGAAUUCAUUCUAGGAAGUCUCACUCUGGCCCUAACCAUGCUUUUAUAUAUAAGGGUGAGACAUCUAGCUCUAGGCAACCAACCCGUGCCAAGUUGCCUAAGAAGAAAACUCCUAGUGCAUCAAAUGAACAUAGCCUUUCAUUUAAAACUUUUGAUGCAUCUUAUGUGUUGACUAACAAAUCCGACAAAGUAGUUGCCAAAUAUGUUGGGGGCAAGCACAAGGGGUCAAAAACUUGUGUUUGGAUACCCAAAGUUCUUGUUUCUAAUGCCAAAGGACCCAAAACCAUUUGGGUACCUAAAGUCAAGAACUAAACUUGUUUUGUAGGUUUAUGCAUCCGGGGGCUCAAGUUGGAUCAUCGACAGCGGGUGCACAAACCACAUGACAGGGGAGAAGAAAAUGUUCUCCUCCUAUGAGAAAAACCAAGAUCCCCAACGAGCUAUCACAUUCGGGGAUGGAAAUCAAGGUUUGGUCAAAGGUCUUGGUAAAAUAGCUAUAUCUCCUGACCAUUCUAUUUCCAAUGUCUUUCUUGUAGAUUCAUUAGAUUACAAUUUGCUUUCCGUUUCUCAAUUAUGUCAAAUGGCUACAACUGUUUAUUCACUGAUGUAGGUGUCACUGUCUUUAGAAGAAGUGAUGAUUCAAUAGCAUUUAAGGGAGUGUUAGAGGGUUAGCUAUACUUGGUAGAUUUUGAUAGAGCUGAACUUGACACUUGCUUAAUUGCUAAGACUAACAUGGGUUGGCUCUGGCACCGCCGACUGGCCCAUGUUGGGAUGAAGAACCUUCAUAAGCUUCUAAAGGGAGAACACAUUUUAGGACUAACAAAUGUUCAUUUUGAGAAAGACAGGAUUUGUAGUGCAUGCCAAGCAGGAAAGCAAGUUGGUGUCCAUCAUCCACACAAGAACAUCAUGACGACCGACAGGCCGCUUGAGCUACUCCACAUGGAUCUAUUCGGCCCGAUUGCUUACAUAAGCAUCGGCGGGAGUAAGUAUUGUCUUGUAAUUGUGGAUGAUUAUUCUCGCUUCACUUGGGUAUUCUUUUUGCAGGAAAAAUCUCAAACCCAAGAGACCUUAAAAGGAUUCUUGAGACAGGCUCAAAAUGAGUUCGCUUUAAGGAUCAAGAAAAUAAGAAGCGACAACGGGACAAAGUUCAAGAACUCUCAAAUUGAAGGCUUCCUUGAGGAGGAGGGCAUCAAGCAUGAGUUCUCUUCUCCCUACACGCCACAGCAAAAUGGUGUAGUGGAGAGGAAGAAUCGAACUCUAUUGGACAUGGCAAGAACCAUGCUUGAUGAGUACAAGACUUCAGAUCGGUUUUGGGCCGAGGCGGUCAACACCGCUUGCUACGCCAUCAACCGGUUAUAUCUUCACCGAAUCCUCAAGAAGACAUCAUAUGAACUCCUAACCGGUAAAAAGCCCAACAUUUCAUAUUUUAGAGUCUUUGGUAGCAAAUGCUUUAUUCUUGUUAAGAGAGGUAGAAAAUCUAAAUUUGCUCCUAAGACUGUAGAAGGCUUUUUACUAGGAUAUGAUUCAAACACAAGGGCAUAUAGAGUCUUUAACAAGUCCUCUGGACAAGUUGAAGUUUCUUGUGACGUUGUGUUUGAUGAGACUAAUGGCUCUCAAGUAGAGCAAGUUGAUCUUGAUGAGACAGGUGAUGAAGAGGCUCCGUGCAUCGCGCUAAGGAACAUGUCCAUUGGGGAUGUGUGUCCUAAGGAAUCCGAAGAGCCUCCAAAUACACAAGAUCAAUCGUCCUCCUCCACACAAGCAUCUCCUCCGACUCAAAAUGAGGAUGAAGCUCAAGUUGAUGAAGUAGAAGAUCAAGCAAAUGAGCCACCUCAAGAUGACGACAAUGAUCAAGGGGGAGAUGCAAAUGAUCAAGACAAGGAGGAUGAAGAGCAAAGACCGGCACACCCAAGAGUCCACCAAGCAAUCCAACGAGAUCACCCCGUCGACACCAUCCUCGGCGACAUUCAUAAGGGGGUAACUACUAGAUCUCGUGUUGCACAUUUUUGUGAACAUUACUCUUUUGUUUCCUCUAUUGAGCCGCACAGGGUAGAGGAAGCACUUCAAGAUUCGGAUUGGGUGGUGGCGAUGCAAGAGGAGCUCAACAACUUCACUAGGAAUGAGGUAUGGCAUUUAGUUCCACGUCCUAAUCAAAAUGUUGUAGGAACCAAAUGGGUCUUUCGCAACAAGCAAGAUGAGCAUGGUGUGGUGACAAGGAACAAAGCUCGACUUGUGGCCAAGGGAUACUCCCAAGUCGAAGGUUUGGAUUUCGGUGAAACUUAUGCACCCGUAGCUAGGCUUGAGUCAAUUCGCAUAUUAUUAGCCUAUGCUACUUACCAUGGCUUUAAGCUUUAUCAAAUGGACGUGAAAAGUGCCUUCCUCAAUGGACCAAUCAAGGAAGAGGUCUAUGUUGAGCAACCUCCCGGCUUUGAAGACAGUGAGUAUCCUAACCAUGUCUAUAAGCUCUCUAAGGCGCUUUAUGGGCUCAAGCAAGCCCCAAGCGCAUGGUAUGAAUGCCUUAGAGAUUUUCUUAUUGCAAAUGGAUUCAAAGUCGGAAAGGCCGAUCCUACUCUAUUUACUAAAACUCUUGAAAAUAACUUGUUUGUAUGCCAAAUUUAUGUUGAUGAUAUUAUAUUUGGGUCUACUAACGAGUCUACAUGUGAAGAAUUUAGUAGGAUCAUGACACAAAAGUUCGAGAUGUCUAUGAUGGGGGAGUUGAAGUAUUUCUUAGGAUUUCAAGUAAAGCAACUCCAAGAGGGCACCUUCAUUAGCCAAACAAAGUAUACUCAAGACAUUCUAAACAAGUUUGGGAUGAAGGAUGCCAAGCCCAUCAAGACACCCAUGGGAACUAAUGGGCAUCUCGACCUCGACACGGGAGGUAAGUCCGUGGAUCAAAAGCUAUAUCGGUCGAUGAUAGGUUCUUUACUCUAUUUAUGUGCAUCUCGACCGGAUAUUAUGCUUUCCGUAUGCAUGUGUGCAAGAUUCCAAGCCGACCCUAAGGAAGCUCACCUUACGGCCGUAAAACGAAUCUUGAGAUAUUUGGCUUAUACUCCUAAGUUUGGGCUUUGGUAUCCUAGGGGAUCCACUUUUGAUUUAAUUGGUUAUUCGGAUGCCGAUUGGGCAGGGUGUAAAAUCAAUAGGAAGAGCACAUCGGGGACUUGCCAGUUCUUGGGAAGAUCCUUGGUGUCUUGGGCUUCAAAGAAGCAAAAUUCGGUCGCUCUUUCCACCGCCGAAGCCGAGUACAUUGCCGCAGGCCAUUGUUGCGCGCAAUUGCUUUGGAUGAGGCAAACCCUGCGGGACUACGGUUACAAGUUAACCAAAGUCCCUUUACUAUGUGAUAAUGAGAGUGCAAUCAAGAUGGCGGAUAAUCCCAUCGAGCAUAGCCGCACUAAACACAUAGCCAUUCGAUAUCACUUUUUGAGGGAUCACCAACAAAAGAGAGAUAUCGAGAUUUCUUACAUUAACACUAAAGAUCAAUUAGCCGAUAUCUUUACCAAGCCUCUUGAUGAACAAACUUUUAACAAACUUAGGCAUGAGCUAAACAUUCUUGAUUCUAGGAAUUUCUUUUGCUAAAUUGCACACAUAGCUCAUUUAUAUACCUUUGAUCAUGUCUCUUUCAUAUGCUAUGACUAAUGUGUUUUCACGUCUAUUUCAAACCAAGUCAUAGGUGUAUUGAAAGGGAAUUGGAGUCUUCGGUGAAGACAAAGGCUUCCACUCCGUAACUCAUUCUUCGCCAUCACUCCAAGCAACUCUCCAUUUUUGGGGGAGAAACUAUGAGCACAAAGACAAAGGACUCCACCUUUGGUAUAAUCUUCACUUAUUUAUUUAUGUCCAAAGGGGGAGAAAGUUCUAAUGAAGGCUCUAAUGAUUCCGUUUUUGGCGAUUCAUGCCAAAGGGGGAGAGAGUAUGAGCCCAAAGCAAAAGGACCGCACCACCACCAAUUUCAAAAACUUAGUUUUUCAAAGGGUAUUUUCAUUUGGUAUCCUAUUGUGUUCAAAAGGGGGAGAAAGUAGUAUUUCAAAAAUGAUAUAUCAAAACCCUCUUGAACACUAAGAGGAGGAUCUCAUUUAGGGGGAGUUUUGUUUAGUCAAAGGAAAAGCAUUUGAAACAGGGGGAGAAAAUUUCAAAUCUGGAAAAUGCUUUGCAAAAUCUUAUUCAUUUACCUUUGACUAUUUGCAAAAGAACUUUGAAAAAGGAUUCACAAAAGAAUUUGCAAAAACAAAACAUGUGGUGCAAGCGUGGUCCAAAAUGCUAAAAUGAAGAAACGAUCCAUGCAUAUCUUGUAAGUAUUUAUAUUGGCUCAAUUCCAAGCAACCUUUGCACUUACAUUAUGCAAACUAGUUCAAUUAUGCACUUCUCUAUUUGCUUUGGUUUGUGUUGGCAUAAAUCACCAAAAAGGGGGAGAUUGAAAGGGAAUUAGGCUUACACCUAUUUUCCUAAUUGAUUUUGGUGGUUGAAUUGCCCAACACAAAUAAUUGGACUAACUAGUUUGCCCUAGUGUAUAGAUUAUACAGGUGUAAAAGGUUCACACUUAGCCAAUAAAAAGAUCAAGUAUUGGAUUGCAACAAAGGAGCAAAGGGGCAACCGAAGGCACCUCUGGUCUGGGGGCACCGGACUGUCCGGUGUACACCGGACAGUGUCCGGUGCACCACCGGACAGUGUCCGGUGCACCAGAGGACUCCAACUCAAACUUGCCACCUUCGGGAAUUUCCAGAGGCACCCUGCUAUAAUUCACCGGACUGUCCGGUGUACACCGGACAGUGUCCGGUGCUCCAAGGAAGAGCGGCCUCCGGAACUCGCCAGCCUCGGGAAAACGCAGCGGCUGCUCCGCUAUAAUUCACCGGACAUGUCCGGUGUACACCGGACUGUCCGGUGAACCAGCAGAGCAACGACUACUUCGCGCCAACGGUCACCUGCAGGCGCAUUUAAUGCGCGCCAGAAGCGCGCAGAAGUCAGGCACGCCCAUACUGGCGCACCGGACAUUGAACAGUACAUGUCCGGUGUGCACCGGACAUCCAGGCGGGCCCAGAAGACAGAAGCUCCAACGGUCGGAAUCCAACGGCAUUGGUGACGUGGCUGGCGCACCGGACAUGUCCGGUGUACACCGGACUGUCCGGUGCACCAUACGACAGACAGCCUCCACCAACGGUCAUGUUUGGUGGUUGGGGCUAUAAAUACCCCAACCACCCCACCAUUCAUUGCAUCCAAGUUUUCCAGCUUCCAACCACUAUAGAAGAGCUAGCAUUCAUUGCAAAGCACACCAAAAGAGAUCAAAUCCUCUCCCAACUCCUCACAAAGCCUUAGUGACUAGAGAUAGUGAUUUGUAGUGUUCAUUUGAGCUCUUGCGCUUGGAUCGCUUCUUUUCUUUCGCAUUCUUUCUUGUGAUCAUACUCACUUGUAAUUGAGGCAAGAGACACCAAUUGUGUGGUGGUCCUUGCGGGAAGUUUGAUUCCCAAGUGAUUUGAGAAGAGAAGCUCACUCGGUCCGAGGGACCGUUUGAGAGAGGGAAGGGUUGAAAGAGACCCGGCCUUUGUGGCCUCCUCAACGGGGAGUAGGUUUGCGAGAACCGAACCUCGGUAAAACAAAUCCUUGUGUCUCACCGCUUUACUCGCUUGCGAUUUGUUUUACACCCUCUCGCGGACUCGGUUUUAUUUCUAACGCUAACCCGGCUUGUAGUUGUAUUUAUAUUUGUAAAUUUUAGUUUCGCCCUAUUCACCCCCCUCUAGGCGAUUGCCGAGACCUAGCGUACCCACCGUAGCUGCAGAGAGAGAGAGAGAGAGAGAGAGAGAUAAGGCCGCAGUAGGUGGAACGCGCUUCCAUCGUCGAUUGACCUUCGGUGGAUGACCAGGGAUGGUUGCUAGGACGUGUUGAAGCCGCGAUGACCACCAGUCCGAAGGAGGGCACAAAUCCUUGGCAAUUUCUCACCGGAGUCGACUCCGUCCGUCGGUCCGUUCGCGGGAGGGACUGAUCGAGCGUCUCGCCGACAUUGGGCCACCGCGGGGCAGGGCGGCACCGCCACGCACUGGGUGGCUGUGAGGUGAGGGAUGGCUGUGAGCCACUAAUCCUGCUUUAGACGGAAUAGAUUAGAUGAGGGAAUAACCCUUGGGUCGGUUUGAUCAGGACCAUUGAUCAUCGGUCGAGGGCUAGGAUCGGAUCAUUGCGUGGACAUAAUUUGGGUCGUGGAUCUGUGAUCCUACAGCUAGGACUCGUACCAGUUCAUAAAUUCGGGUGGAUCUAAUCUAGGCCACAUGUUUCUGAUCCAGUGGCUUAGAUCGGAACGUACCCCUUCCGUGUGAAAAAGUUUCUAAAGAGUCCCUGAUCUUUUCAUUAAUAAACCCGCCAUACCUUGCCAUUAUAAGAUCAUUACGGUUUGGCCCACAUAUUUAUAGAUCAGUCCUUGACCUUUGGGAAUUUAAUGUCGUCGUCCAUUUUUUAGUUAACAGCAAUAAUCAAAUCUGGAAAUUGAUUUCUAAGCGUUAAAAUAAUCCCAAAAAUCAUAGAAAAUCCAUAAAUAAUUUAUUCUAACUCCGAUGUGACACGUUCGAAUUGCGUUGGAUUCAUACUAAUAUUACCUACACAGUAUAACACUAAUCUUUACCAUAUCACAUACUUUUGUAAUUAGGUACUUAUUUAUCCUAUGCAUAGUAGAUUAAUCUAUCUAAUUAAAGAAAUAUGUUUAUAAUUAUAAUUUGAAUAGAAGAUGAUCUUUAACUAAGAUAUGACUUAUAUUAAAGUUAAUCCUUAAUGUAUAUCUCACUUGAUUUAUAAAAUCAAUCUAAGGCCUAGUUUUAAUUAUUUAAUCAUGAAAAUCUUCUUAAAACCAUACCUUCUUAACCAUAACUCUUAUUUUAGUGAUUCUCGAACCCGCGAUCUCGUGGCGACGAGUAAAAUAUUCUUACGUUGUUUGUUCUCAUAUUUGGCGUAUUGUUAUUUUAAGUACUUCUUGUAUAUUUGUAUGUAUCACUACGAGUAGCAGCGAGAUUACGAGUAACCUGAAGACCAAUUUGGUGAGGUACCUAGGAUCUCAAGUCUAAGGCAAGUUGUGCCCUUGAUCACUUUUCUUUGCCUAAUAAUGUUCAUGUUAAUCACUGUGACAUGCUCAAGUUAAUUUGAUGGGACCUAAUAGGUUUCCCUAGUAUUGUUUAUCCCACACCUUGCAAAGAAAUGAACUAUUGGAUAGAUUUGCUAUUGCUCUGCCUGGUUUUGAGAAAUUAAUGAUAUAUAUGAUCAUGUUCCAUUAAUACUAAUGGUUUAUUUAUUGUUCAUGAUAAGAUUAUUGAAUUAAUUGGAACAUGGAGAACCACCCGGGAAAACAAUACUACCACAAGGAUGGAAUGGGACGCCAUUGGCCAAGUAAUUAGGAAAGAUAGAGAGAGAUUAUCUUACCCAAAAAGGGCACGCGGGAAGGCGUCGCUGCAGAGUAUAGGGAGGUCCUCGAGUCGAUCUGUUGCAAUGGCAUUUCGAACGAGAGAUUCCUAUGCUUCCUUCUUCCUGAAUCCUUAGCGGGUUUUCUCGAACUAGUGGAACUUUAGAAAGGCCUCAUAAUGCUACCCUGCCUCACCUCCUCGGUAGAGGUAUAUGAGAUUCAUGACCUCGUGGCAGAUGGGUAACACGACUUGCGGGUAAAGAUAUGCAACCUCUGCAGAGUGUAAAACUGGUAUAUCAGUCGUGCUCACAGUUAUGAGCAGCUUGGAAACUCACAUGAUUAACUUAUGGAAUUAAACUUAAUUUGUCAUUUGCAUUGCAUUGCAUUGUGGGUGUUAUCAUUAAUUGUGACUGCUAAUAAAAUUUUAUUUGGCUUGGUAUCUACUUAUACUUAGUAAUUGCUAAUAAAAUUUUGACCAACUCUAAAAGCAAUGCUCAGCUUUAACCAUCUCCAUUGGUAAGCCUUACACUUCACAUGAGCCCCACUAUAAGGGAGCUCAUGCACAUUAUUCCCCACAACAUGUUGAGCGAUGAACGUAUGUGAGCUCAUCCUUGCUGUACUCACAUUCCCCUAAGGUCAAGAACAGGUACCACAGGAUGAUGAGCAUGAAGGAUGCCGCGAUGAGUUCGUGAGAGGUCUAGGCCGUCGUCUCAUAGUCAACUAUGGUUGCUGGAUCGUUGUCUUCGUAUGAUGUAAUUAUUUAAAUAUUUUGUACAGAACUCCAUUAUAUAUUAAAGAUGUGACAUUCGUUUCUAUACCAUGAGUCAUCAUAUGUGUGAUACUUGAUCCUAUCACACAUUUGAGAUGCACCUGGGUUUACCCCUUAAAUCCGGGCGUGACACUAUUUGUAGCCACCGAGGAUUGGUUGUGGAUGCCAGCUGGAGCCCACAACGCUCGCAGGGGUUUGUUACUGAAGCGUCCCGGUCCUUUGGGACUCAAAUGUGAUACAAUUACUAGUCCUAGGAGGCUAGUAACCACAUUCCUUACUUCAAAUAGUACAGAGUUCGAAUAAAAGUUAUUACAAUACCAAAGUACAAGCUCUAGCGAGCCUGGAAUGCAAAGCACAAUGGAAGAUCAAAUAGCCCAAGCCACAUGCAGAUUGGGUGCAGACACAACCCCCUUCUGGUCGAGCAUAGCAGAAAAGAAGUCUUCAGCUGCUGAAAAACAUAAAUAAAUCUGGGUAAAUACACUAGGUAUUCCGCAAGCCCAUCCCGCCCGUAAAGACAGAGAGAGGCCUAUAUAGUACAUGCUUGAUAUGGUGGAGUUGAAGUCACUCUUCUUUUUCAGAAGAAGGCAAUACUUUGAUGGUUUUCCCCAAAGAAAGAAGUAGCAUAAUUUCACACUCAACCAGCACUGAGGUUCCCGCUCCCGUGGCAUUGUUUUCAUUUCCAAAAACACUUACACACACAUUUCCCUGUUUGCGGAGAUCAUAAACACUAAUUGUCAUACCACACCAGACUCGUCCAUACCAGUGGACACAGACUAUUCGAAUAGGUUUGAACUCUGCGCAGAGGGGUACACUUUACCCACUAGUCCGACUCUGCUGUCUCAUGGCCAAUGAGACCCGAAUCCAAAUAUCUUUCUUUCCCCGCAUGUCCUUACCUUAGCGGUUAUACCGGAAGGAGUCAGGCCACCACCAUGCCCAAACCGGACAAAACAUUCCCCCUCCUUAUCCUCCCGGUGCUCCCCAACCAUCAUAACCCUGGGGUUCAGACCAUACGAGUUUAGAUUGAGUGACUGCCCAUACAGUCUCGAGUGGUUGUACUUGUCAUGAGUACAUGUAGUGAAGGAUGACAAACCAGUCCUUAUAUGAGGGGACAAUCCUUAUGCUCACAUCUAACCCGGCUCAGCCAACACCUGAGGCCCUCCCCUAAACCAGGGAGCCCCUGAUUAUCCCACUCAAAAGGUGAUAAGGGUGAAUACCCUUCAUCAUACACUUUUUGAAAACAUUAUUCAUUAAAAACACCACCCUUUUCUCAUCCCACAUUUUGUACUCAAAAGAUAUUCUUUAAUGCGGGCUAUCUGUCACACCCGGUUUUGGAAGGUAAACCGAAUGCGAACCAUGUACGUGCCAGGAUCAGAAACUCACGUACACAGCUAUUACAUAAUUGGACAUCAUCACACAAUGCUCGAAAUAAAUAGCGGAAAGGUACUUGAUUACAUCAAGAUGUCUGAGACAUCCACAGAGUCUAUUACAUAACCAUUGUUCAACAUAAUUAUCAAAGUGUGGAAUUACGAAACGUAGAUGCUAAGCCUACACAGGCAGCUGACUGGGGGUUUGCCACUAAGAAAGGACUAGAACUCGUCAUAUUCCUGGAACUCCUCGAAGUCAUCCAUGUUGCUAGAAUCACCUCCUGAGCACUGAGUACACUGGGGACAACCUGGGGUGGGGUGGUGUGUAAAGCAAGUGUGAGUACACAUCAACGUACUCAGCAAAUGUCCCGUUUGGCUAAAGUGGACUAGCUGUAUGUGGAGUUUGAGGUUAAGCAGUUGCUUUUAGUUGGUCAAGUUUUUAUUAUUAUCAGUAGAGCCAAGUUUUAGUAAUAAACCCAGUUAUUACCCAGAAGUACCUCCUCAAAAGAGGAAAUACCAGAGAUCAGACUUUAUAUCAUCAUUGUUAACAAUCAUCAUAAAAGUAUCCAAAGUUCUUCUAAUCAAAGAGGAUCCCAAGGCUGCUCUUAACCGUGAGCUCGACUGAUAUACUAGUUUUUAACACUCUGCAGAGGUUGUACACUUUACCCACAAGUCGUGAUCCCUUUCCAGCCUGGGUUGUACAGACCCAAUCUUCACUACCAAGGUGAAUGACCAGGGACACACUACGUAGCCUUUACAAAGACUCCCCUGGUGCAUAGUUGCUCAUUAGGUUUCACCAGUCGUAUAAACGCAGUACACCUCUCCAAGAUGGGUGACUAACAAAACCAAAUCGAAAAGAACCUCUGCACCCCAACCUUGGCAGAGCGAGCACUACGCCCCGACCCCCGUUGACGGCCCUCCGGCAAAGCCAACUAUACCCCUGAUUCAUCUAAUUAAUCUGCUAAGGGCGUCCCAUUCCACCCUCAUGGUUAUACUAUUAUCCCGGGUGGUCACUCCACGAACAGGACCUUACAGAGAGGUACUCAGGAAAAAGGCCUGAGCCCCCUAAGGUAUCACAAUAUCAUCCACAUAAUCAGGAUAACAGUAUCGUAUCAUAAAUGUUCACAUCAUGUUUAUUGAUUAAGAUAAGGCAAUAGCAACAUCCUAACCAUGAUAACCCAAAAGGUAAACAAGGAUAAGGUAAAUAUAGACUAGUCAAUCCUUAGGUUUCAUAAAUGAAGCGUCCCAAUCCUCUGGGACUCAAAUGUGAUACAAUUACUAGUCCCAGGAGGCUAGUAAACACAUUUAUACAUCAGAUGAUUCCAGAUCUGCUUAAACGAGACAAACCUAUAAAGGUGGCGAACAACUUUAAGAGUUGGUCCACAACUCGAGACAUAUCAUCAGAGUGGGGCUGAAGCAGCCCGAUAUACGCAGCGAAGCAAUUCAGCGGUCCAACAGCCACAGGCAAGGUUGGGAACAGUCGUAACUCUUACCCGAUCUCCUUUUUCUGAAAAAACAACAAAUAAGCAAGGGUGAGUACAAACGUACUCAGCAGCCCACCUUCACCCGCGGAAUGGGGAAAUCAGAUAUAAUGCAUGGAAUAUGUAGAGCUCAGGAUAUUUGCAGAAACAACAAUAUUUUAUGCAGGGUUGUUUUGAAAAACAUUUUGUAUUUUGCAAAGUGCAUCCUCUCCAAAAGGAGCAGGAAGUUUUUCAGUAUUAUAACAAAAUCCCCUGGACUAAACCAUCCAGGUAUCUCAGCAGUUUCCCACUGGUUUUCCUUUUCAAAAACAGCUACUGGACUUCCCGUCCACCAUAUCUCACGACUCAACCGCUGAACCUUUUUAAAAACCACUUUUCUCAAAACCAUCUCUUUUUUUGGAAAACAAAACAUUAAUUGCCAUACCAUACCAGACUCGUCCAUUCCUGUGGACACAGACUAUUCGAAUAGGUUUUCAAACUCUGCGCAGAGGUGUACACUUUACCCACUAGUUCGGCUCUGCGAUCCCAUGGCCAAUGAGACCCGAAUCCGACUCUCUUUCUUUCCCCGCACGUCCUAACCUUAACGGUUAUCCGGAAGGAGUCAGGCCACCACCAUGUCCAAACCGGACAAAACUUUCCCCCUCCUUAUCCUCCCGGUGCUCCCCAGCCUUCAUAACCCUGGGGUUGGACCGUACGAGUUCAGAUUGAGUGACUGCCCACACAGUCUCGAGUGGUUGUACUAUUAAAGAGUACAGGUAGUGAAGAUGACAAACCGGUCCUUAUAUGAGGGGACAAUCCUUCUGCUCACGCCUAAACCAGCUGAGCCAACACCUUAGGCCCUCCCCUAAACCAGGGAGUCCCUGAUUAUCCCACUCACAAGGUGAUAAGGGUGAAAACCCUUCAUCACACACAUUUUGAAAAGCAUUUUCUUUUGAAAACUCACACCUGUUCUCAAAUCAUUUGGAACAUAUAUAUCAGGGAUUGAUUGCGGCAAGCGGCUGGGUGGCCAUAAUAACUUGUCUCAAAAUCAUAUCAUGCAUAAAAUAACAGGCUGAGGGUUGUGGUUGAAAAAUCAUAGGUAAUUUAUGCAUCAAAGGGAUCCAGUGAGCUUGCCGUGCUUAUUCGGCGAAGGGGGAAGGGGAGCUCGCGGAACUGGCUUCUGGCUCCACCGCCUAGCGUAGACUUGCAGAUCUGGCCUCCACGAGACGGCACGAACGCUCCGAUAACUAUGCAACAUGAACAAGCAAACAUACAAACCAGCAAGUAUACCAACAAAUAUUUAGUAUAGUGGUCAGAAAAGCGAUAUAUGGAUGGGUAGAGUCUUGAGUAGAAUCUGUGUCAUGUGGUGUUGUGAUAUUACUGGUGGUGGAGCGGAGGUGCUUACCAGGAGGGUGGACUGGAGGCGAAGCGACACUAUGCGUGUAGCCGGUAGAGCGGAGUAACUGAGUGGGUGGGGUGUUUGCCUUGGUUGAGGGUGUUGAGUGUGUGUGGAGAGGGAGAGGGUAGUUGGGUGUAUUUAUAGCUGGGUGUAUGUGGUGUAGCACAGUGAAGUUCACUGUUGGUGAGAAUAGUGAUGAAUGAAUCGUCUGACUUAGUAUGAACAAGAGAGUUAUAGGCAGAAUAUGGGACAAGAGUAUUUUGGGAGUCUUCUGGAAUAUGAACCAUGCUUAAGAGAUGACAUGGUUGGAUAGGGAAUAGUUUGAUAAGAAUUUAGAAACAAGAAUUAUUGGAAUCUGAGUUUGGAAGCCUGGUUCGAAGGAAUCUCAAAGUUAAGCGUGCUCAACUUGGGGAAACCUGGGAUGGGUGACCAGAUGGGAAGUUCCCUACUGGAAGAAAAAUCACAGUCAACGGAGUUCGUAUGACUGGAAUAUGGGUCUGGCUGGUCUUAGGUGGACUGGACAACAUGAUGUACGAGUAGUUGAAAUUUGGGAUGACUAGAUGACCGAUGAAUAGUAACGAUGAUUAGUAACGAUGAAUAGUGGCGAUGGAAAAGAAAUUAUAGAUAUCAUCGAUGAAUAGUAACGAUGAUGAAUAGUGUAUGUGAAUAGUAACGAUGAAUAGUAAUGGUGAAUAGUAAUGGUGAAUAGUGAUAGUGAAUAGUUCGUAUGAACGACCGAUGAAUAGGAACUAUGAACGAACAGACGAACGAUCGAAUGAUCGGACGAACGAACGAUCGGAAUUUCGGCAGCAUAACGGCAGGAAAAGAUUAUUUGGACGAACGAACGGACGAACGAUCGAAUGAUCAUACGAACGAACGAUCGGAAUUUCGGCAUCAUAACGGCAGGACAAAGAUUAUCUGGAAGAACGAUGAAUAGGGACUAUGAACGAACGAUGAAUCGACGAAUAGGGACUAUGAACGAACGAUGAACGAUCGAAUGAUCGAACGAACGAACGAUCGGAAUUUCGGCAGCAUAACGGCAGGACAAAAAUUAUCUAGAAGAACGAUGAAUAGGGACUAUGAACGAACGAUGAACGAUGAAUAGGAACUAUGAACGAACGAUGAACGAUCGAAUGAUCGAAUGAACGAACGAUCAGAAUUUCGGCAGCAUAACGGUAGGAAAAAGAUUAUUUGGACGAACGAACGGACGAACGAUCGAACGAUCGGACGAACGGACGAACGAACCAUGAACGAUCAGAUGAACGAUCCAACGAUCGGACGAACGAACGAACAAACUAAGAACAGGGGACGAACGAUCGAAGAACGAUCGAACGAUCCUUGUGCUAGUGUGUGCUUGUGUGGAACAUGGAGUGGGUGUGUGUGGGGGGGGGAGAGUUGCCAUGAAAUGGCUUGGGGUGGGAAGAGAGGAGGCCCUUGCCCCUCUAUUUAUAGCCAUGGUGGGGGGAUUAGGGGGAGGGAUGAGAGGAUUAGUGGGAGGAUGAGAGGAUUAGUGGGAGAUUAGCAUGUAUUUGUCUUGUAUAAGUGAGAUUUGCUUGUAGAGCUCACCGUAUGACACUGGAGGCAUACAUAUACGUAUGAGCAUGAGGAAAGUUAUGAAGAAAAUAUUUAUAGGGACUUGAAAAAUGAUCCUGAAGGUAUUUCUCAGGAGGAAAAUAUCUGGAGAUAUAUCGGUGGAAUAUUUGGGCAGUAUUUCUGGAAAGAACUUGAAGAGGAUCACUAGGGAAAUAUCUGGGCAGUAUUUCUGUAAACAAUUUGAGGGGGAUCACUGAGGAAAUAUUUGUAGGAUAUUUUGAGGAGGAUUUUAGAGAGAAUAUAGACCACUAUACUUUAUUUGUUGAUAUCAACUCGCAAACAAACAUUUUGAAAUGAAAUUUGAAAUUCAUUUUGAAUUUAGAGCAAGUUUGAGAAAGUUUCAGGAUUUGAUUUUUUUGGGAUGCUACAAAUCUACCCCACUUAAAAGGAAUCUCGUCCUCGAGAUUUGGCUUAGAAGGGUUAUGGGUAUAGCUUUACUUCAGCUACAUAUCUUCACUUUGCAGACUCUUCGAGGAGAUAGAGCUUCAACAAAAUCUGGCCUGGCGGAGCAUCUGGUUGCUGAUUGCAAACGCUGAUUCUGGCUACUCACAGAUCAUCUUCAGGCUUCUAGGUUUCGCUUGACAGCUAGCUUAUUGAAGAAGCAUCAAUGCCAACACGCAAACCUUUCUCUUGCGAACUUCCACAUGGAUUCCUUCCUUGAUUGGUCUUCCGGUGCUUCAUCAACACAACUUGGGUGACCACUUCUCAUCCAGAAACUUAUAUGCUUUGAGGAUCUGGUCCUUCACAAGCUCGCUACAGGCCUUCUUCUUUUUCUCCAUAGCAGGAACCUUACUGGAACACUACCCCACUUAAAUGGAAUGAGGGUAGAACUCUUGAAUCUUGGGGAUUUGAACUCCUUGAAGUACCUCAUAACAAGGGUGUUACGGGACCUUCUUCUGCUGUUGCUGCUUGAGCUGGCUGCGGAGGGAUGACUGGCACAAGGUUGAUUCUGGGAGAACCUUCUUCUUAUCUUCUCUUCAAUAUCUUCUUUUCUCUUCUCACUUUUCACUUUUCACUGCCUCUUUCUUUCUCUUUGCUCUUCCCACUGGAGGAGUCUAUCGAUGAGUAUUACCAUCAUACAGAGGAGGAAACCAAAGACUAUGAACCAUGUACAACAGUCUUCAACCCAAGAAUCACCGAGCAUUGUGAUCUUAGGGGCGAGGGAGUGGAAAAUGGAGUUGCUUGCUAUUUGGCAGGGAGGUUUAUCUGGAGUGUGCUUUGCUUUGAGCGAGAUGGGAGUUGAGGGAGCCGAUGGGGGGUUUUAUAGGCGAGCGGGGGUGUUCGGUUGUGGAGUGGCGGUGAUGGAGCAGGUGCUACGCGGCAGCGGGUGCGACAAGGGGAGGGGGCCUGGUGUUGCCGGCGAUGAUGGUGGCGGUGGGUGCGCUGCAAAGGGGGAGUGGGGCGGUGGUAGUGCGCUGCAAAAGGGGGCGUGGGGCGGUGGUAGUGCGCAUGGAGGCGGGCACGCGUGCGAGGGGCACGGGUGAGUGGUGGGGUCGAUGACCCUGAUGUUUGUGGUCUCUGGUUCCAAGAAUCUUUGCCUCUCUGUAUGGUAAUAACUCCUUCUGUCCUCUUUUUCUGUUUACUUUGACUCAGGGGCAGUGCUUUGAUUCUCACGGUCGGCCCUUUUGACUGAGCGACUGAAUAGGUUCCUCUGUAGCUUAUUCCAUGCUUCAAGGGUAAGCUUCUCGGUAUCUUCUUGGGUAAGACACUUUUCUCUUGAGAUGGGUUAAGAUGAGAAUGGAAGCAUAAGGUGAGGAUUAGAUCUAAUUUGAGAUCUAUGUUUUUAGAGAAAACCUUUUUAAGAAAAACGAAAAGAAAACACACAAGCUCAGCAAUGAUAAGCACAAACAAAUCAAAUGUUUUGAAUAAGGGAAGAAUAGAGUUUUUCCAAAGCACGAGCUACUCAGAUUCGGGGGCUAAGCAUAACUACUAUUGCUUGGCUCCUGAAUUGAGAACUAUGCUAAAUGCAACUUAUGAGCACUAACGUUAAAGCAUCACAUAUGCACUCAAAAGGGGAGAAAACAUCAAGCGAAAUUCAUUUUGAAAUGCCCUAGGGGGCCACACAAAUAGAGUUUUUCAAGGCACGGGACUACACGAUUACCUCUCAUACAUGCAGGGCUCUAGCCAAAGUGAAGAAAAACUUCACUACCCAAUGCAUGCAGAGGACUGGGCAUACUAACUUCAGACCAGGCAACUUCUCUUCUGGCAAGGCUGACGCACAACUUCAAUCUGAGAUAUCUCCUGGAUGGGUCAACAUGGAGCUGAUGUUGAUGACUUCUUCUGGCGGCGACUGAGAUGGCAGAACAGGGUCGAACUCUUCUUCAAGCGGGACUGGCUCUUGUAGCUCCUCAGAGGGCGGUGGUGCUGGCGGGGUGCUUGCAGCUUCUUCCUUAACCUCAAGGGAUGGUGCUGGAAUCUUCUUCAUGGUGAGGGGCUCAAACAACUCUGGCGGGGGAUCUUGGGAGGACUCGGGGUGCUCUUGCUUAUUCGUAGCCUGAGGGAAGACUGGAAUUCCUUCCACGACUAUGGAUCCUUCCGGUAGUUCCCAAGCCUUCUUUUCUCCUCUGGUAGAGACCGGGUGACCUUCAAGAAUCUGGGGGUCUUCAGCUCUCCUGGGUUGAACUGGGUUGGAUGGAGCGGGCUCUUGGAUCCGCAGGGCUCUACGUUGGUUAUGGGUUACCAAGUAGGCCUCCAUCAACUUCUGGAUGUGCUCAUCCUUGGCUUGAUUCAGGGCUUCAACAGCAAUGACUUCACGACUCUCCAAGGCAGUUGCACGGGCUUGAGCUGUGGUGAGAUCCACAUGCAGCUGACGGUUGCGCUUCUCUGCAUCUUCUGCUCGGGCAAUCAUCUGACGGUGGUGCCGAGCCAAGAAAUCAUACUGUGCAUCCAGGGUGAGCAGGUAUGCAGUGAGGUACAUGACGGUGGGGUCGUCCUCAAGCAGCUGCUUCCCUUCCAAUGCACGCAUCCUGGCCAUCCAAACUAGACGGUCUCUCUGAAAGGGUGGAAAGAAUCUGAGCGGGGUGUCGACCACUUCUUCUUCGUAGAUCUGACACAGGGCCCUCAAUGCCUUGCGAGCGAUGACUUGGCAGGUGUCUUUGAAUCUGUGCCCAGCAGCAGUGACACUCCAUUCCACAUGGUGUGGACUGGAUCCAAUGUAUACAGUCACGACACACUUCUCUGUGCCAUGCUCGACGAACUCACGACCAUCAUACUCUGGCUGGCUCCUGAUUCCGAGGCGAACUGUGCAUGCUCUCAGCAACUUGGGGAAACCAUCUUCAUUCUGGCAAAAGCUGGUUUGGCACUGAACCUCCAUCUGACUUCUGAGAGAAGGAAAGGGGGAAAACAUUUUUGAAAUGAAGGGAUGCGAGCAAGAAUUUUUUUAAGAAAAUAGUUUGGACUCAAAAACUUUUGGAUCAGGCUAAGGGUUACGUCCUGCGGCCAACCUAACAGCUCCGAUACCACCUGAAGCGUCCCAAUCCUCUGGGACUCAAAUGUGAUACAAUUACUAGUCCCAGGAGGCUAGUAAACACAUUUAUACAUCAGAUGAUUCCAGAUCUGCUUAAACGAGACAAACCUAUAAAGGUGGCGAACAGCUUUAAGAGUUGGUCCACAACUCGAGACAUAUCAUCAGAGUGGGGCUGAAGCAGCCCGAUAUACGCAGCGAAGCAAUUCAGCGGUCCAACAGCCACAGGCAAGGUUGGGAACAGUCGUAACUCUUACCCGAUCUCCUUUUUCUGAAAAAACAACAAAUAAGCAAGGGUGAGUACAAACGUACUCAGCAGCCCACCUUCACCCGUGGAAUGGGGAAAUCAGAUAUAAUGCAUGGAAUAUGUAGAGCUCAGGAUAUUUGCAGAAACAACAAUAUUUUAUGCAGGGUUGUUUUGAAAAACAUUUUGUAUUUUGCAAAGUGCAUCCUCUCCAAAAGGAGCAGGAAGUUUUUCAGUAUUAUAACAAAAUCCCCUGGACUAAACCAUCCAGGUAUCUCAGCAGUUUCCCACUGGUUUUCCUUUUCAAAAACAGCUACUGGACUUCCCGUCCACCAUAGCUCACGACUCAACCGCCGAACCUUUUUAAAAACCACUUUUCUCAAAACCAUCUCUUUUUUGGAAAACAAAACAUUAAUUGCCAUACCAUACCAGACUCGUCCAUUCCUGUGGACACAGACUAUUCGAAUAGGUUUUCAAACUCUGCGCAGGGGUGUACACUUUACCCACUAGUUCGGCUCUGCGAUCCCAUGGCCAAUGAGACCCGAAUCCGACUCUCUUUCUUUCCCCGCACGUCCUAACCUUAACGGUUAUCCGGAAGGAGUCAGGCCACCACCAUGUCCAAACCGGACAAAACUUUCCCCCUCCUUAUCCUCCCGGUGCUCCCCAGCCUUCAUAACCCUGGGGUUGGACCGUACGAGUUCAGAUUGAGUCACUGCCCACACAGUCUCGAGUGGUUGUACUAUUAAAGAGUACAGGUAGUGAAGAUGACAAACCGGUCCUUAUAUGAGGGGACAAUCCUUCUGCUCACGCCUAAACCAGCUGAGCCAACACCUUAGGCCCUCCCCUAAACCAGGGAGUCCCUGAUUAUCCCACUCACAAGGUGAUAAGGGUGAAAACCCUUCAUCACACACAUUUUGAAAAGCAUUUUCUUUUGAAAACUCACACCUGUUCUCAAAUCAUUUGGAACAUAUAUAUCAGGGAUUGAUUGCGGCAAGCGGCUGGGUGGCCAUAAUAACUUGUCUCAAAAUCAUAUCAUGCAUAAAAUAACAGGCUGAGGGUUGUGGUUGAAAAAUCAUAGGUAAUUUAUGCAUCAAAGGGAUCCAGUGAGCUUGCCGUGCUUAUUCGGCGAAGGGGGAAGGGGAGCUCGCGGAACUGGCUUCUGGCUCCACCGCCUAGCGUAGACUUGCAGAUCUGGCCUCCACGAGACGGCACGAACGCUCCGAUAACUAUGCAACAUGAACAAGCAAACAUACAAACCAGCAAGUAUACCAACAAAUAUUUAGUAUAGUGGUCAGAAAAGCGAUAUAUGGAUGGGUAGAGUCUUGAGUAGAAUCUGUGUCAUGUGGUGUUGUGAUAUUACUGGUGGUGGAGCGGAGGUGCUUACCAGGAGGGUGGACUGGAGGCGAAGCGACACUAUGCGUGUAGCCGGUAGAGCGGAGUAACUGAGUGGGUGGGGUGUUUGCCUUGGUUGAGGGUGUUGAGUGUGUGUGGAGAGGGAGAGGGUAGUUGGGUGUAUUUAUAGCUGGGUGUAUGUGGUGUAGCACAGUGAAGUUCACUGUUGGUGAGAAUAGUGAUGAAUGAAUCGUCUGACUUAGUAUGAACAAGAGAGUUAUAGGCAGAAUAUGGGACAAGAGUAUUUUGGGAGUCUUCUGGAAUAUGAACCAUGCUUAAGAGAUGACAUGGUUGGAUAGGGAAUAGUUUGAUAAGAAUUUAGAAACAAGAAUUAUUGGAAUCUGAGUUUGGAAGCCUGGUUCGAAGGAAUCUCAAAGUCAAGCGUGCUCAACUUGGGGAAACCUGGGAUGGGUGACCAGAUGGGAAGUUCCCUACUGGAAGAAAAAUCACAGUCAACGGAGUUCGUAUGACUGGAAUAUGGGUCUGGCUGGUCUUAGGUGGACUGGACAACAUGAUGUACGAGUAGUUGAAAUUUGGGAUGACUAGAUGACCGAUGAAUAGUAACGAUGAUUAGUAACGAUGAAUAGUAAUGAUAAAUAGUAACGAUGAUGAAUAGUGUAUGUGAAUAGUAACGAUGAAUAGUAAUGGUGAAUAGUGAUAGUGAAUAGUUCGUAUGAACGAACGAUGAAUAGGAACUAUGACCGAACAGACGAACGAUCGAAUGAUCGGACGAACGAACGAUCGGAAUUUCGGCAGCAUAACGGCAGGAAAAGAUUAUUUGGACGAACGAACGGACGAACGAUCGAAUGAUCAUACGAACGAACGAUCGGAAUUUCGGCAUCAUAACGGCAGGACAAAGAUUAUCUGGAAGAACGAUGAAUAGGGACUAUGAACGAACGAUGAAUCGACGAAUAGGGACUAUGAACGAACGAUGAACGAUCGAAUGAUCGAACGAACGAACGAUCGGAAUUUCGGCAGCAUAACGGCAGGACAAAAAUUAUCUAGAAGAACGAUGAAUAGGGACUAUGAACGAACGAUGAACGAUGAAUAGGAACUAUGAACGAACGAUGAACGAUCGAAUGAUCGAAUGAACGAACGAUCAGAAUUUCGGCAGCAUAACGGUAGGAAAAAGAUUAUUUGGACGAACGAUCGGACGAACGAACGAACGAACCAUGAACGAUCAGACGAACGAUCCAACGAUCGGACGAACGAACGAACAAACUAAGAACAGGGGACGAACGAUCGAAGAACGAUUGAACGAUCCUUGUGCUAGUGUGUGCUUGUGUGGAACAUGGAGUGGGUGUGUGUGGGGGGGGGAGAGAGUUGCCAUGAAAUGGCUUGGGGUGGGAAGAGAGGAGGCCCUUGCCCCUCUAUUUAUAGCCAUGGUGGGGGGAUUAGGGGGAGGGAUGAGAGGAUUAGUGGGAGGAUGAGAGGAUUAGUGGGAGAUUAGCAUGUAUUUGUCUUGUAUAAGUGAGAUUUGCUUGUAGAGCUCACCGUAUGACACUGGAGGCAUACGUAUACGUAUGAGCAUGAGGAAAGUUAUGAAGAAAAUAUUUAUAGGGACUUGAAAAAUGAUCCUGAAGGUAUUUCUCAGGAGGAAAAUAUCUGGAGAUAUAUCGGUGGAAUAUUUGGGCAGUAUUUCUGGAAAGAACUUGAAGAGGAUCACUAGGGAAAUAUCUGGGCAGUAUUUCUGUAAACAAUUUGAGUGGGAUCACUGAGGAAAUAUUUGUAGGAUAUUUUGAGGAGGAUUUUAGAGAGAAUAUAGACCACUAUACUUUAUUUGUUGAUAUCAACUCGCAAACAAACAUUUUGAAAUGAAAUUUGAAAUUCAUUUUGAAUUUAGAGCAAGUUUGAGAAAGUUUCAGGAUUUGAUUUUUUUGGGAUGCUACAAUAAAGUAAUGUGGGACAGUGAAUCAUAAAGUAUGUAGGACAUAAUGGGUCAGAGGACACUUGCCUUCACCAGGUGGUUCCUCAGGGAGGUCUCCAACAACACACUCAGGAACCUCGGACUGCUCGUUGUCUAAAUGAAGCAAGCAUGCAUUCAAUACAUUUGGAAAGUACAAAUGAACAUCACACCAAACAUGUACAAACAUUGGAACACAUCUUAAAAGGACACAAUACUACAUAAGGGAUAAUGAAUUCAAAAUAUAACAUGAACUAUAACAUAAAUUAACUUCAUUUGGAAGUAGAUUAUUAUUUCCCUAAGUGUUAUUUACAAGUACAUAAUCAUAGAUCAAUUUAUUUUAUGGUGACCUAAAAUUUAGAAGAAAGAUGAACUUAUGUAAUACAUAUUAUUAAUAUCACAAGCUUAAACAACUUUAAAUCUCUAAGGUUCUCCUUUUAUUUAUUUUAUUAAAUAAAUAAGCUACAUCUACAUUAGUUCAUAUUUAAUCAUAAAAAUUAGAAUGUGCAGACAGUAAAUGAAACCAUUAUUUAGAUAGAGAAUAAUUCUAUGAACAUUUUGCAAUUUGGAUCACUAAAUUUGGAGUUCAUAUGCAAAAGUUAUGAAAUAAACAAGUUUGGGAAUUCAAAAUAUGCAAAAGUCCAGGGCUAAAUCUGCAAGAUUACAGGGGCCUGCGCGCGAAAACCAGGGACAGCAGGUUGAUUUCUAAUAAACCGAGGGUCUCUUUAAGAAAACUACCGCGCGAAGGGGUAUCGGGUAAAUCUAACCAUCAGAUCUAAAACCAACGGCUGAGAUUAGAUCUGUGUCCAAGGGCGCGCGCGCGCGAGCGGGCGAGCGCUGACAGGCGGGCCAAGGAGUGUCAGCGAUAGAGGGGGAGAGCGCGCUGACCGAGUGGGCCCAGCGCUAAGGGGUUUAGGCGCUGACAGGCGGGCCAGGGCGUCAGGGCGCGCGUGCGCGAAGCGUUAUCCGAGAUCUGAGUCGUUCGAUCUAAAUCGGACGGAGGGGACUAGACCAGGGGAAACAGACGGCUGUAGGCGGCGCCGCUCCUCUCCGCGGCGGUGAGGUCGCCGGAGUUGAGGCUGGCGCGAGCUAGGGUGGCUCCGGGGUCGCCGGAGUUGCGCAGAGAGGGAGAGGGCGCCACGACGAACUCGAUGGCAGGGAAGAGGCCAUGAAUCCACAGGCAGAGAGGGGAGAACGGCGGUGAGAAAGCCUCGGGCGGGCCGGAGUAACUCUGGUGAGCCAUUUCGGCCACGGGGAGGGGACUUAAGGCGUGCUAAGGCCUGGGCUAGCUUCAGCAGAGGCAGGGGUGACACAGGGACCUACUCCGGGGACUAGACCGAGCUAAAUCGGCUGGCCUCCGCGUGAGCACGGCGGGCCGCCGCGGCCGAGCACCGGGGAAGGUGACAUUGGCUGAACAUAGGGCGCAAUAGGGGAAAUUGGGCACGGAGACGGGUGUCUCACCUCGAGGCGGAUCUCAGGGAGGCUUGGAGCGGUCUCCGGCGAGCUGGAUGGCCGGGAACGCGGGCGCAGGUCUCCGGCGGCUGGCGGCGUGGGUAGAAAGCGAGAGAGGGUGAAGCUGUGCGAAAUAAGGCGAGGGGUGUGCGCGGGGCACUGGCAGAGCUCUAAGAAGGGAGCUGGGCGCGUGGGCGGGCGUCAUGGUCGAGAAAUCCGGUGACGUGCGCGAGUGCGCACGCGCCGGUCCACGGCGAGCGCGGAGGGGGCGGAACUGACAGGGCAGGCCCAUGGCGCAGAGAGAGAAGAAAGUGGCGCGCGGGGCAAUGGCUCGGCGAUUGGUGAUCUAGGCCCGCGAGACAGAGAGAGUGCGCGUGGGUGAAGAAAAACUGGCGCCGACAGAUCGGCCCAACUGGGCAGCGAGCGAGAGAGGGAGCGCGCACGCGAGGGAGAACUGCCGCUGGCAGGCGGGGUCCGCCUGUCAGAUGACGCGGGCGCGCGACCUGGCUGGGCCGACUUGGGCCGGCUGGGCUGCUUUAUCCUUUUCUUUUUCUCUGGAUUUUCUAAUUCCUUUUCCAUUUCUUUUUCUAUAGAGUUUUCAAAUCCAAAUUCAAACUAGGUUUCAAAUUCAAAUAAAUUCAAACUUGUGCAACACUUCAAAGAAUAUUUUAAGCUCAGCAUGAUGCAACAUAUCAUGACUCAUAAGGUUUUGACAAAAAUAAAUAAUUAACCUCCACUAGUUUAAGCUAUCUCUAAUCAAAAAGGAAAAAGGGAGAGAGAAUCUAGAGAUAGAGAAAGCCUAUAGUGAGAAAAAAGAAGAGUAACACAUGAUUUUGGGUGAUAAAUAGAAAGAAAUUUUAUACCCCAAAAUCAGGGUGUUACACUAUCUCUCUUCUCACAAUGCAAAGGACCCAACCCUUAUUCCCGGUUUAGGUAGUGGUAGAGAGAGUAGGUAAUUUAUGCAUCAAGGGAAGAAUGU
rnacentral:lncRNA from 1 species